rnacentral:rRNA from 1 species
UACGGAGGGGGCUAGCGUUGUUCGGAAUUACUGGGCGUAAAGCGCACGUAGGCGGCUUUGUAAGUUAGAGGUGAAAGCCCAGGGCUCAACCCUGGAAUUGCCUUUAAGACUGCAUCGCUUGAACAUCGGAGAGGUAAGUGGAAUUCCGAGUGUAGAGGUGAAAUUCGUAGAUAUUCGCAAGAACACCAGUGGCGAAGGCGGCUCACUGGCUCGAUACUGACGCUGAGGCACGAAAGCGUGGGGAGCAAACAGG